rnacentral:rRNA from 1 species
GAUGAACGCUGGCGGCGUGCCUAAUACAUGCAAGUCGAGCGAACAGACGAGGAGCUUGCUCCUCUGACGUUAGCGGCGGACGGGUGAGUAACACGUGGAUAACCUACCUAUAAGACUGGGAUAACUUCGGGAAACCGGAGCUAAUACCGGAUAAUAUAUUGAACCGCAUGGUUCAAUAGUGAAAGACGGUUUUGCUGUCACUUAUAGAUGGAUCCGCGCCGCAUUAGCUAGUUGGUAAGGUAACGGCUUACCAAGGCAACGAUGCGUAGCCGACCUGAGAGGGUGAUAGGCCACACUGGAGCUGGAACACGGUCCAGACUACUACGGGAGGCAGCAGUAGGGAAUCUGCCGCAAUGGGCGAAAGUCUGACGGAGCAACGCCGAGUGAGUGAUGAAGGUCUUCGGAUCGUAAAACCCUGUUAUUAGGGAAGAACAAAUGUGUAAGUAAAUAUGCACGUCUUGACGGUAACUAAUCAGAAAGCCACGGCUAACUACGUG